rnacentral:rRNA from 1 species
AGAGUUUGAUCAUGGCUCAGAAUCAACGCUGGCGGCGUGCCUAACACAUGCAAGUCGAACGAGAAAGUGGAGCAAUCCAUGAGUAAAGUGGCGCACGGGUGAGUAACACGUGACUAACCUACCCUUGAGUGGGGGAUAACUGAGGGAAACCUUAGCUAAUACCGCAUAAUACCUACGGGUCAAAGGAGCAAUUCGCUCGAGGAGGGGGUCGCGGCCGAUUAGUUAGUUGGCGGGGUAACGGCCCACCAAGACGAUGAUCGGUAUCCGGCCUGAGAGGGCGCACGGACACACUGGAACUGAAAACACGGGUCCAGACUCCUACGGGAGGCAGCAGUGGGGAAUUUUGCGCNUGGGGGAACCCUGACGCAGCAACGCCGCGUGGAGGAUGAAGUCCUUCGGGACGUAAACUCCUUUCGAUCGGGACGAUUAUGACGGUACCGGAAGAAGAAGCCCCGGCUAACUUCGUGCCAGCAGCCGCGGUAAUACGAGGGGGGCGAGCGUUGUUCGGAAUUAUUGGGCGUAAAGGGUGCGUAGGCGGUUUGGUAAGUCUUGUGUGAAAUCUACAGGCUCAACUUGUAGUCUGCACGAGAAACUGCCGGGCUUGAGUAUGGGAGAGGUGAGUGGAAUUCCUGGUGUAGCGGUGAAAUGCGUAGAUAUCAGGAGGAACACCUGUGGCGAAAGCGGCUCACUGGACCAUAACUGACGCUGAUGCACGAAAGCUAGGGGAGCAAACAGGAUUAGAUACCCUAGUAGUCC